rnacentral:ribozyme from 1 species
CCUCGUCACGCCCGACGCACACGCACGGCGCGAGACCGCGAUCGACACGAGA